GCUGGGCAUGGUGGCGCACGCCUAUAAUCCCAGCUACUCUGGAGGCUGAGGCAGGAGAAUCGCUUGAACCCAGGAGGCGGAGGUUGCAGUGAGCCGAGAUUGUGCCACUGCACUCCUGCCUGGGCAACAGAGCGAGACUCCGUCUCAA
rnacentral:SRP_RNA from 1 species